rnacentral:rRNA from 1 species
UACGAAGGGGGCUAGCGUUGCUCGGAAUCACUGGGCGUAAAGGGCGCGUAGGCGGGCUGGCCAGUCCGGGGUGAAAGCCCACGGCUCAACCGUGGAAGUGCCUUGGAUACUGCCAGUCUCGAGGGAGGUAGGGGCGUGCGGAACUUCCGGUGGAGCGGUGAAAUGCGUAGAUAUCGGAAGGAACACCGGUGGCGAAAGCGGCGCGCUGGACCUCUUCUGACGCUGAGGCGCGAAAGCCAGGGGAGCAAACGGG